GGCGGCAGGCCUAACACAUGCAAGUCGAGCGGCAGCGGGAAAGUAGCUUGCUACUUUUGCCGGAGAGCGGCGGACGGGUGAGUAAUGCCUGGGAAAUUGCCCAGUCGAGGGGGAUAACAGUUGGAAACGACUGCUAAUACCGCAUACGCCCUACGGGGGAAAGCAGGGGACCUUCGGGCCUUGCGCGAUUGGAUAUGCCCAGGUGGGAUUAGCUAGUUGGUGAGGUAAUGGCUCACCAAGGCGACGAUCCCUAGCUGGUCUGAGAGGAUGAUCAGCCACACUGGAACUGAGACACGGUCCAGACUCCUACGGGAGGCAGCAGUGGGGAAUAUUGCACAAUGGGGGAAACCCUGAUGCAGCCAUGCCGCGUGUGUGAAGAAGGCCUUCGGGUUGUAAAGCACUUUCAGCGAGGAGGAAAGGUCAGUAGCUAAUAUCUGCUGGCUGUGACGUUACUCGCAGAAGAAGCACCGGCUAACUCCGUGCCAGCAGC
rnacentral:rRNA from 1 species